AUUUCCAGUGACUGGAUUCAUUUGCCCACUACUGCAAAAAUCCUACAAUCUAGUACAUGACCUUUUUUCAGGAUCUUAUAUGUUUCAACCCCUUUGUA